CCUUUGUGAUGAAGGUUCUAGACAUAGGGACUGGGGUUUGUGUGAGGUCACCCAGGUGAUUGCACAGCGCCAGCCCUCAAAGCCAGGUCUAGGGCUCCAUCCCACUUCCCAAGAUGCCCUGAAGUCUUGAGGUGUCUGCUAGGAAAGCGUUGCAUUACUGGGCCAGGAAAGAAGCUUCAUAUUACAACAGGCUGACAUGUUUUUAGCUCAAGAGUGGAGACUUCUGUCAAUCAUGUGGGAUCAUGAAUGCCUGAAAGGUUGGAGGUCCAUGCGUUGACCAAGAAGAACUCCAGCUGCUUCAGAUUGCUUGAUUGUCACUGAAAAGUACACUCAAUAUGAAGAAGAUUGCAGUUAACUGGAGAUUAAAAUUAGAUGUCUUAAUAAGGCAAAUCAUUUCAA
rnacentral:lncRNA from 1 species